CCAACUGCCAUGAAGGAGGGUCCCAACUACUACAGCAGGAGGAGAGCUUGCACCUAGGAGUUCCUGGGCAGCACAGCAGGGCCCAGCUCAAAAGCAAGGCAAACUAAACAGAGUCAUCUUCCUUCUAGUCCUCUUGAGAAGACCAACUGAUGCCAAGGGCCACUGGACGCGAUGACAGCAGUGUCUCAGGGGAGAAAACUGAAUGAAGAGAAGUAAAGCAAACUGACCAGAGCCACACUCAACCAGGGCUAUGAAC